CAAACCUCAAGCUCACGCUUGGUCUUGGGCGCCGUCCGUCAGGACGCGCCAGAAACCCGUAGGCAGUGGUGCCCGCCUCCCAGCGUAGUCAAGUUACCGCUUCGGAGCGCGCGGCGCCGCCCGCCGGACGAACAACCACUUCUCCUAUG
rnacentral:misc_RNA from 1 species